rnacentral:rRNA from 1 species
CUAAGAAUCUUGCGCAAUGGGCGAAAGCCUGACGCAGCAAUUCCGCGUGGGGGACGAAGGCCCUCGGGUCGUAAACCCCUUUUGUGAGGGAAGAAGUUCUGACGGUACCUCACGAAUAAGACACGGCUAACUACGUGCCAGCAGCCGCGGUAAUACGUAGGUGUCGAGCGUUGUCCGGAUUUAUUGGGUUUAAAGGGUGCGGAGGUGGGCUUAUAAGUCAGUGGUGAAAUCUCCGAGCUUAACUUGGAAACUGCCGUUGAUACUAUAGGUCUUGAAUUAUCUGGAGGUAAGCGGAAUAUGUCAUGUAGCGGUGAAAUGCUUAGAUAUGACAUAGAACACCAAUUGCGAAGGCAGCUUACUACAUAUAAAUUGACGCUGAGGCACGAAAGCGUGGGGAUCAAACA